rnacentral:tmRNA from 14 species
GCCCGAUGGGGCGGGGAAUCAUGAUCAUCGGGCUGGUCACCGCGUGGCGCCUCUUGGCGUGGUGGCGAGGAGGUUUCAAGCGGCUGGACCGAAACACAGGGCGUCGAUCCCCGGUGUGAGGUCGAGAUCAAACGAUCGACUACACGCGUAGAAGCGUCUUGCUGACUGUUCCGGGACGGGGGUUCGAUUCCCC